GAAAUGCGAUAAGUAAUGUGAAUUGCAGAAUUCAGUGAAUCAUCGAAUCUUUGAACGCACCUUGCGCCCUUUGGCUAUUCUGAAGGGCAUGCCUGUUUGAGUAUCAUGAACACCUCAACUCUCGUGGUUUGCCGCGAUGAGCUUGGACUUUGGGGGUCUUGCCGGCCUAUGGUCGGCUCCUCUCAAAUGAAUCAGCUUGCCAGUGUUUGGUGGUGUCCCAGGUGUGAUAAAUAUCUACGCUUGUGGUUUUCCACCAGGUAACCUUCAGCAAUGGAGGUUCGCUGGAGCUCAUAAAUGUCUCUCCUCAGCGAGGACAGCUUUUGAACGUUUGAUCUCAAAUCAGGUAGGACUACCCGCUGAACUUAA
rnacentral:misc_RNA from 1 species